rnacentral:rRNA from 1 species
UGGGGAAUUUUGGACAAUGGGGGAAACCCUGAUCCAGCCAUCCCGCGUGUGCGAUGAAGGCCUUCGGGUUGUAAAGCACUUUUGGCAGGAAAGAAACGUCAUGGGUUAAUACCCCGUGAAACUGACGGUACCUGCAGAAUAAGCACCGGCUAACUACGUGCCAGCAGCCGCGGUAAUACGUAGGGUGCAAGCGUUAAUCGGAAUUACUGGGCGUAAAGCGUGCGCAGGCGGUUCGGAAAGAAAGAUGUGAAAUCCCAGAGCUCAACUUUGGAACUGCAUUUUUAACUACCGGGCUAGAGUGUGUCAGAGGGAGGUGGAAUUCCGCGUGUAGCAAUGAAAUGCGUAAAUAUGCGGAGGAACACCGAUGGCGAAGGCAGCCUCCUGGGAUAACACUGACGCUCAUGCACGAAAGCGUGGGGAGCAAACAGG